CCUACGGGAGGCAGCAGUGAGGAAUAUUGGUCAAUGGCCGAGAGGCUGAACCAGCCAAGUCGCGUGAGGGAAGACGGCCCUACGGGUUGUAAACCUCUUUUGUCGGGGAGCAAAGCGAACCACGUGGGGUUCAUUGAGAGUACCCGAAGAAAACGCAUCGGCUAACUCCGUGCCAGCAGCCGCGGUAAUACGGAGGCUGCGAGCGUUAUCCGGAUUUAUUGGGUUUAAAGGGUGAGCAGGCGGAGGUGCAAGUCAGCGGUCAAAUUGCGGUGCUCAACCCCGUACUGCCGUUGAAACUGCAUCCCUUGAGUGCGCGAGAAGUAUGCGGAAUGCGUGGGGUAGCGGUGAAAUGCAGAGAUAUCACGCAGAACUCCGAUUGCGAAGGCAGCAUACCGGCGCGCAACUGACGCUCAUGCACGAAAGCGUGGGUAUCGAACAGGAUUAGAUACCCUGGUAGUC
rnacentral:rRNA from 1 species